rnacentral:ncRNA from 1 species
UUCCCUCCGAAGUUUCCUUCAGUAUAGCUGGCACUCGCCCGUUCUGCACGGAACAUGCGCGAGUCUCAUCUGGUAAAGCGAAUGAGGCCUUGGGGUCGAAACGACCUCAAACGACCUAUUCUCAAACUUUAAAUGAGUGACAUCUCUGAUUUCUUGAACUGUGAAGUCACGAGUAGAAAUUUGGAUCAGAAUGCCAAGUGGGCCAUUUUUGGUAAACAGAACUGGCGCUGUGGGAUGAACCAAACGCAGAGUUAAGGCGCCUAACUCGACGCUCAUGGGACACCACAAAAGGCGUUGGUUGCUUAAGACAACAGGACGGUGGCUAUGGAAGUCGGAAUCUGCUAAGGAGUGUGUAACAACUCACCUGCCGAAGCAGCUAACCCUGAAAAUGGAUGGCGCUGAAGCGUCGAACCUAUACUCUGCCGUCAGCGACAAGUGGGGCGGCCGCAUGCUCGCACACGCCGCCACGAAGCCCUGACGAGUAGAAGGGUCGCGGCGAUGUGCGCAGAAGGGUCUGGGCGCAAGCCUGCCUGGAACCGCCGUCGGUG